ACCGGUAACGGCGUCUCAGCGGCCUUGGCGCCUUCCGCGGGGGCCAGGCUGCCCGGGCGGCGGCCUCCCGCGCCUCUUCCGCGGCGGCUGGCGAAGGCCCGGGGCGCCGACCAGCGAUGUCGGAGGCGAGUGGAAGCGAUGAUUUCUCUUCUUCCUCCUCCUCCUCGCAGAGCUCGAGUGCGGAGCGCGGCCGCCCCUCCACCUCCCGUAACGGCGCCGUGCCCCAGCACAAGCAGCACCGGCUGUCGGGCCGCCCGCUGGCCCCCGAGGAGGAGGGAGAGGAGCCGGAGGCGGCGGGGGAUAAACCCAGGCGGUUGGAGAGCGCCGAGGUCGCCGGCGAUGAGCGGAGCAGGAGGAUGCUCCGGAACCAGUACCGGGAGCUCAUCUGCAGCGUCCAGCAAAAUCGUGAGGAUAUGCUGAGUUCAAAAAGCAACAGACUGACAGAAGCUUUGGAAGAGGCCAAUAAACUGUUCAGUGGAGUUUCCUGUGCGCGAGAGGCUGCGUUGGAUGCCCAAUUUCUUGUCUUAGCAUCAAAUCUGGGAAAGGAGAAGGCCAAUGAGUUGCACUCUGAGAUGACAGCAUUUGAUUCACUAGCAUUUGCGGACGACUUGCUAAACUUCAUGGGGAUAAAUCUCAUAGAACAAAAUGACAGUGAUUCUGAGAGCACUUCAGGUGGCUACUUACCUAGUGAUGCCUGGCAUAAACUGGGAGAAGAAGCUGAAAAGUACUUCAGAAGAGCACCUUCUUUUCACUAUAUGUUGGGAUCUUUCAAGUCUGAUCCUCCCGUACCAAGACAACGGAUUGAGAGGCCAAAAAAAGCUGCAGCAGGAGAAGGAAAACGGGCAAUGCCUGCUCAGUUAAAAAAAAUGGAGGAGUCUCAUCAGGAAGCUACAGAAAAAGAAGUAGAGAGGAUUUUGGGAUUAUUGCAAACUCAUUUUAAAAACGAUCCUGGUACACCUAUUUCCUUCUUUGAUCUUGUGAUCGAUCCAAACUCUUUUGCACGCACUGUGGAAAACAUCUUCCAUGUUUCCUUCAUUAUAAGGGAUGGUUUUGCAAGAUUAAAGCUGGAUGAUGAUAAAUUGCCAAUAAUAGAGCCUUCAAAAGACAACGAGGGAAAGGAGGGUCACCAUAGUGCUGGAGCACGGAACCAGGUUGUCAUAUCUCUGAACCAUCAAGAAUGGAAGGUAUCAGAGAGAGCACUUGAUACUUUUGAUUUAUUUUUUUUUCUUAAGUGUAAAAAUGCAUCCAAGAGCUGUGCUGUUACAUACUCUGAUGAGGGUGGGUGUUCCUGCAUAUAUUAUCACUACAUUUAAUUUUAUGGAUUCCAGAACAAUCACAAAUCUAAUGAAUGUUUUUAAGUGCAAGAAAACUGAGAAUUGGGAUAGCAAUUUCAUAUUUGAUCCUUGAAGCUGGUGUCAGUUUAAGUGCUUUUAAUUCGUGCAGUGACUUGCCUUUAUUCUUCUCUAUGAGGACUGCAUAAGUACGGAGGCUGUUUCUUCCCUUACAUAUGAUACUUGCUUCUAGAUGGGAAAUUCUUCGUGCAGUUUCCUCACUGUUUGUAGUUUGUAAUAAAUCUUAGACAAAAUUAGUUUUUAGCACAUACAACUCUUCUGCUUUCUCCUUCACUCAGAAUGUGCAGAAGAAACUUAGUAAUUUGAAAUAGUGCUUUAGUAUGAGAAACUUAUUACUUGCCUCGUGGUAACUGCAAUGAAAUUGAAAUAGAUCUUGUAACUUACGUUUUUUUGUCAUGUCUGACUAGGAGAUUGUAGAAACAUAUGAAAUAACAGAACCCAUGAUUAGUCCUCCUUAUAGAAAUGAAGAUGAAAUGGAUAUAGCUUAAUUCAGGUGCCUUAAAGAAAAUAUUUUAAAUUUUUUCCUUCAGAAGAGAUUUUAUAUGUAUAUAUUGUAAAAUUAAAUUUAUUUUUAUUGGUACAUCUCGACACUUUAUAUAAGCUGUCUCAUUCAUACCUGUCACAGGGUUAUUACCAUAUACUUCCUAUUUAUUAUGGCUUCGUUUACUACUUUAUAUGAAGUUUACUGAGAAGCUUUCAAGAAAAGGAAAUGCUCUCCCCCUUCUCAUCUCGUCUCUCAGCAAUAGCAACCCGCAAGGGGGAUUUACAUCAUUAACCACCUCUGCUCUGCUAAUCUUAUCUAGAGGAUCUUGGGUGCCGCAGGACAAAUUUGAUACUGUCUUUCUCUUCUGGGAAUCAAGGUUGGACUUAGGAAAAGUAGUCUCAAUGAGAGAUAAAUUCCUCCUUCCUUUUUUCCUAAGUCCGUCAUGUGUAUUUGGUUUUGGAACUCGGGCAGGGCAGCUUUCUUGGGCCACGGCUGUAUUGUCUUCAGAAUAAAUAAAAG